GAUGGACGCUGACCGAAUGCUUAACACAUGCAAGUCAACUUGAAUUUGGGUUUUUACCUUAGGUUUGGGUGGCGGACGGGUGAGUAACGCGUAAAGAACUUGCCUCACAGCUAGGGACAACAUUUGGAAACGAAUGCUAAUACCUAAUAUUAUGAUAAUAGGGCAUCCUAUAAUUAUGAAAGCUAUAAGCGCUGUGAGAGAGCUUUGCGUCCCAUUAGCUAGUUGGAGAGGUAACGGCUCACCAAGGCGAUGAUGGGUAGCCGGCCUGAGAGGGUGAUCGGCCACAAGGGGACGGAGACACGGCCCUUACUCCUACGGGAGGCAGCAGUGGGGAAUAUUGGACAAUGGACCGAGAGUCUGAUCCAGCAAUUCUGUGUGCACGAUGAAGUUUUUCGGAAUGUAAAGUGCUUUCAGUUGGGAAGAAACAAAUGACGGUACCAACAGAAGAAGUGACGGCUAAAUACGUG
rnacentral:rRNA from 1 species